AAAUUCCCAGAAAGACUUUUUUUUUAAGCCUGACAAAGGCACAGUGGGACCAGUGCAGCUUCUUCAGGUGUGAAGGAUCAGAGAAGAGCCUGAGGACAGGGACAUCCAUUUGGUGUAUUUUUGGAACAUGAAACAAAGAUAAAUAUACAGAAGACUGGACAUCAUCUUUACAUCACUGGAGAAAGAUGCUGAAGUUGUUGAAAUGAGGAAACCACAAAGAAAAUGUAACCAUAUGUUUCUUCUGAGAAUGCCCUGUGACCUACUUCAUUUUGUUUGCCUGCAACUCCCACUGUUAGCUCUGCUAACUUCUUUCAGCUCCCAUUAUCUUUUGGCUGCGUUUUAUAGUUGUAAUAGAUGGGAACUCACUGACUCGGUGUCAUCCACCUCAGGUAACAUGCUCCCAUUGAAUCUAAUCUAAAUUAAUGGAGAAGAACCCUUUGCUCUUGAUACUUACACAGAUAAGAGAGGCAAUAGCAAAACCAAUGCCAUUUAGUCUAGAGAAGCAAUCUGCCCACUUUAUGUAAUAGAUGUCCCAUUCAAAUAGUCAUCAUGUCAACCUAAACACAGUGCUAAUGUGCCCAAUUAUUCAGCUAUGUACUUGCAGUGCAUUGAGCACUGUGUUUCAUAUUUCCCCAUAAAGCUUCUCAAAACCUUCCUCAAAAGCUUGAAUUGAAAGAGGAACAAACAGACACUGGAAUAUAAGUUUUUUUGUUAUUAUUUUUAAGGUGAACAACAGAAACAAAAUUCAGUCUGUAAUACCGCUGCACCCUUGAAUACAGGUGAUGAGUAAUAAUGCAGGCUUAGAAAGGAUGGCCAAGACUGAGAGCUUUAGCAAUUUAAAAUAUUAGCAUUACUUAGAGGCUCAAAUUGCAAAUAGUAAAGAUGAUUAAAGAAUAAGAAAGGAGAGGAAAAGACCCUUGUGGGAUUUAUUUACUUUUAUUAUAAUAGAGUUAUUGAUAGAUUCAGGGGACCAUCUGAAGUGGUAUAGUCAAAAGAGGUAAAUAAUACAUGGAAGUAAAUAGCAAAUGCCAACACUCAAAUGAUGAAAGCCUUGGAAAUACUAUUUAUAAGAAUAAAAAUUACAUGACAGAAGGUCUAUCCAAGGCUCACUUUGCUUUUUUAUUCACUUAACGUUCCAUUUUAGUACAACAUUUGGUCACUU